CUACGGGCCGCUCCAGUGGGGAAUAUUGCACAAUGGGCGCAAGCCUGAUGCAGCAACGCCGCGUGAGGGACGAAGGCCUUCGGGUUGUAAACCUCUUUUAGCAGGGAAGAAGCGAAAGUGACGGUACCUGCAGAAAAAGCACCGGCUAACUACGUGCCAGCAGCCGCGGUAAUACGUAGGGUGCAAGCGUUGUCCGGAAUUAUUGGGCGUAAAGAGCUCGUAGGCGGUGUGUCACGUCUGCUGUGAAAUUUCGAGGCUCAACCUCGAACUUGCAGUGGGUACGGGCAGGCUAGAGUGCGGUAGGGGAGAUGGGAAUUCCUGGUGUAGCGGUGGAAUGCGCAGAUAUCAGGAGGAACACCAAUGGCGAAGGCACAUCUCUGGGCCGUAACUGACGCUGAGGAGCGAAAGCGUGGGGAGCAAACAGGAUUAGAUACCCCUGUAGUC
rnacentral:rRNA from 1 species